GAUGAACGCUGGCGGCGUGCCUAAUACAUGCAAGUCGAGCGAACAGACGAGGAGCUUGCUCCUCUGACGUUAGCGGCGGACGGGUGAGUAACACGUGGAUAACCUACCUAUAAGACUGGGAUAACUUCGGGAAACCGGAGCUAAUACCGGAUAAUAUAUUGAACCGCAUGGUUCAAUAGUGAAAGACGGUUUUGCUGUCACUUAUAGAUGGAUCCGCGCCGCAUUAGCUAGUUGGUAAGGUAACGGCUUACCAAGGCAACGAUGCGUAGCCGACCUGAGAGGGUGAUCGGCCACACUGGAUCUGAGACACGGUCCAGACUCCUACGGGAGGCAGCAGUAGGGAAUCUUCCGCAAUGGGCGAAAGCUUGACGGAGCAACGCCGCGUGAGUGAUGAAGGUCUUCGGAUCGUAAAACUCUGUUAUUAGGGAAGAACAAAUGUGUAAGUAACUAUGCACGUCUUGACGGUACCUAAUCAGAAAGCCACGGCUAACUACGUG
rnacentral:rRNA from 1 species